rnacentral:rRNA from 1 species
GACGAACUGUGCGAACGUUGUUCGGAAUUACUGGGCGUAAAGGGCUCGUAGGCGGCCAACUAAGUCAUACGUGAAAUCCCUCAGCUUAACUGGGGAACUGCGUGUGAUACUGGAUGGCUUGGAUUCGGGAGAGGAAUGCGGAAUUCCAGGUGUAGCGGUGAAAUGCGUAGAUAUCUGGAGGAACACCGGUGGCGAAGGCGGCAUUCUGGACCGAUAUUGACGCUGAGGAGCGAAAGCCAGGGGAGCAAACGGG